rnacentral:rRNA from 1 species
UUUAAAGAGAGUUUGAUCCUGGCUCAGGACGAACGCUGGCGGCGUGCCUAAUACAUGCAAGUCGAACGAAUGGAGGAAGAGCUUGCUCUUCCAAAGUUAGUGGCGGACGGGUGAGUAACACGUGGGCAACCUGCCUGUAAGUUGGGGAUAACUCCGGGAAACCGGGGCUAAUACCGAAUGAUAAAGUGUGGCGCAUGCCACGCUUUUGAAAGAUGGUUUCGGCUAUCGCUUACAGAUGGGCCCGCGGUGCAUUAGCUAGUUGGUAGGGUAAU